rnacentral:rRNA from 1 species
UUCCGGUUGAUCCUGCCGGACCCCACUGCUAUCGGGAUAGGACUAAGACAUGCUAGUCGAGCGCUUCCUAGCCAAUAUGGAAGCGCGGCACACAGCUCAGUAACACGUGGCUAACCUGCCCUUGGGACAAGAACAAUCCCGGGAAACUGGGGCUAAUUCUUGAUAGGCGAAGAACUCUGGAAUGAGUCUUCACCCAAAAGAUACUUGCAUUAUGCUUGUAGGUGUCGCCCAAGGAUGGGGCCGCGGCCGAUCAGGUUGUUGGUGAGGUAAUGGCUCACCAAGCCUUUUACCGGUGCGGGCCGUGGGAGCGGGAGCCCGGAGAUGGGCACUGAGACAAGGACCCAGGCCCUACGGGGCGCAGCAGUCGCGAAAACUCCGCAAUGCACGAAAGUGUGACGGGGCUACCCCGAGUGCCAUCCGCUGAGGGUGGCUUUUCUUUGGUAUAACUAGCCAUUGGAAUAAGGAGAGGGCAAGACUGGUGUCAGCCGCCGCGGUAAUACCAGCUCUCCGAGUGGUAGGGAUGAUUAUUGGGCUUAAAGCGUCCGUAGCCGGCUUAGCGAGUCUCCUGUUAAAUUCAGCGACCUAAUCGUUGAUCCGCGGGAGAUACUACUAGGCUAGGAGGCGGGAGAGGUCGACGGUACUUCUGGGGUAGGGGUGAAAUCCUAUAAUCCCAGGAGGACCACCAGUGGCGAAAGCUGUUGACUAGAACGCGCUCGACGGUGAGGGACGAAAGCUGGGGGAGCGAACCGGAUUAGAUACCCGGGUAGUCCCAGCUGUAAACGAUGCGGGCUAGGUGUUGGGGCAGCCACGAGCUGCUCCAGUGCCGCAGAGAAGUUGUUAAGCCCGCCGCCUGGGGAGUACGGCCGCAGCUGAAACUUAAAGGAAUUGCGGGGAGCACACA